AGCUCGUUCAUUUCUUCUUACCAAUUGUUUAUGAGCUACAACAAAUACUUUGAAACAAUUUACAUUUAAAUGUUGCAUGUAAAAUUAACAAGUUAAAAGUUAAAUAGUAAUAUAAUUCAAAAUUCCUUAAGUACGACGGCGCGAUUUAAUCAUUCGUGAUAUAGAUUACUUCUAAAUUAUGUUUCCAAAUUAUCAGUUUAUUCACAUGUAAAGGAAAGUUUUAAAAAAGAAGCCUGUAAAAAAUAUAGAGGUGGUAGAGCCUAGCUGUGGUCAAGUUACUACAGUUUAAACAUGGGUUGGCUCGAUCGAGUGGAAAACCAUGUCGACACGCGGUUCGCGUGUUGGCCGCCUGAUAGCAGUUCUCUGAUGCAAGGUUACCACCCAAUUGCAUACAACACUACAACCACAAAU